rnacentral:sRNA from 1 species
UUGUCGAGUGGCCGCUGCGAAACCCGAA